rnacentral:rRNA from 1 species
AGUGAACGCUGGCGGUAGGCCUAACACAUGCAAGUCGAACGGCAGCACAGUAAGAGCUUGCUCUUACGGGUGGCGAGUGGCGGACGGGUGAGGAAUACAUCGGAAUCUACUUUUUCGUGGGGGAUAACGUAGGGAAACUUACGCUAAUACCGCAUACGACCUACGGUUGAAAGCAGGGGAUCUUCGGACCUUGCGCGAUUGAAUGAGCCGAUGUCGGAUUAGCUAGUUGGCGGGGUAAAGGCCCACCAAGGCGACGAUCCGUAGCUGGUCUGAGAGGAUGAUCAGCCACACUGGAACUGAGACACGGUCCAGACUCCGACGGGAGGCAGCAGUGGGGAAUAGUGGACAAUGUGCGCAAGCCUGACCAGCCAUACCGCGUGGGUGAAGAAGGCCUUCGGGUUGUAAAGCCCUUUUGUUGGGAAAGAAAAGCAGCAGGUUAAUACCCCGCUGUUCUGACGGUACCCAAAGAAUAAGCACCGGCUAACUUCGUG